UUCCCUCCUACUUCUGCCAGUGCCGUCCUCAAAUCUGUUCUGGAAGGUGGGGGAAACACCCAAAACAACACGCAGGAAGAUGAGAGACAAUUGCUCAUUGUCAGACCAAUUCAGCAAUGGCUUUCCAGCAGAAUGCACAAAGAAAUAGCGUGGCUAACUUCAGCAUGGAAUUUUAGCGGGUUUAAUAAUCAUUACUAAUGUCAUAACUUCUUUCUUAAAUGAAGCUGGUGUUCUUUAGUUGUUGUAGUAGCAGUUGCCGAGACAUUAUUCAAAAUGAAGCGAGUUAAUGCACUUAUGUAUCUGAAGUUGGAGAAUGCUGAUGAGUAAUAGGACUGAGAUGGGAGAGAAAUUCCACUCUUAUCACUGUUCCCAAAUACACACUUGGUGGAACUUGCAGAUCCUAUGAUUAUACUCCCUUCUGCAAGUCUCUUUGUUUUAUUCGUAUUGGGUUGAUCUAUGGAUCCAUGAAAAGCUGGUUUCUGAAGGGUCAGGGAAUACCACAGAACAAGAUUUAGGAUGGUACCAAGGGUGGCAGUUGAAAAGAAACAAUGAAUGGAAGUGCAUUUCACUUGGAUAUAGGGCUCUGUGGGUCUCAGCCCUGGAAUUAUUCUGUUUAUUAUGGUAAAGUUGUUUGUGGGCACUGGAGAACUAGAAGAAAAUUGAAACCUCUAAUGUCCGCAAGAAGUAGUGCUAUGCAAUGGAAUUAAAUGUGUUUCGAGUUGAACUUUACAUAACUGCAAUGCUUUCAAAGCAACAAUAAAGGCUGUGCGUUUCA